rnacentral:rRNA from 1 species
UACAGAGGUCCCAAGCGUUGUUCGGAUUCACUGGGCGUAAAGGGUGCGUAGGCGGUUUGAUAAGUCUGAUGUGAAAUCCCGCAGCUUAACUGCGGAACUGCAUUGGAAACUGUUUGACUAGAGGAAUGGAGGGGAGACUGGAAUACUUGGUGUAGCAGUGAAAUGCGUAGAUAUCAAGUGGAACACCAGUGGCGAAGGCGAGUCUCUGGACAUUUCCUGACGCUGAGGCACGAAAGCCAGGGGAGUAAACGGG